rnacentral:lncRNA from 1 species
UCUAUUGUGGAUACUAGCUUUGAUUGUAUCCAUGUUUUGAUCAUUCUUGAAUUUUACACCACUAUGAUUAUUUUUGAGGUAUUUUUGGACGUGGAUAAAACAAAGUACGAAUCUUUAAUCCUUAAUUCUUGUCAUUUUGUUUCACUGGAUUCGUUUAUUUAAAAAUAUUUUUCAUCAUCCUCAGUCUUAAAUAAUGAUAUUAUUGAAUAUCUUUGGCCUGUAGUGCAAAGAUGAAUGAUUUCUGAUGAAUAUCUUUGGCAAGUAGUGCAAAGAUGAACAUGUGUUUAGAUGAACAUGACCAACUGGUGAAUGUCCUU